rnacentral:rRNA from 1 species
CUACGUGCCAGCAGCCGCGGUAAUACGUAGGGGGCAAGCGUUAUCCGGAUUUAUUGGGUUUAAAGGGUGCGUAGGUUGUUCGGUAAGUCAGCGGUGAAACCUGAGCGCUCAACGUUCAGCCUGCCGUUGAAACUGCCGGGCUUGAGUUCAGUGGCGGCAGGCGGAAUUCGUGGUGUAGCGGUGAAAUGCAUAGAUAUCACGAGGAACUCCGAUUGCGAAGGCAGCUUGCCAUACUGCGACUGACACUGAAGCACGAAGGCGUGGGUAUCAAACAGGAUUAGAUACCCUGGUAGUCCACGCAGUAAACGAUGAUUACUAGGAGUUUGCGAUAUACCGUCAAGCUUCCACAGCGAAAGCGUUAAGUAWUCCACCUGGGGAGUACGCCGGCAACGGUGAAACUCAAAGGAAUUGACGGGGGCCCGCACAAGCGGAGGAACAUGUGGUUUAAUUCGAUGAUACGCGAGGAACCUUACCCGGGAUUGAA